rnacentral:snRNA from 1 species
AAAUGAUACAAACAACUCUCAGGGCCUUGAAUAACACCCAGUGAACAAUUUUUGGAGACCCUAUUCUCUUGAGGAUAGGGUG